CCCCGCCCCCUCCCCCCCCCCGCCCGGCCGGCCGCCGCCAUGGAGUCGAACAGGGACGAGGCGGAGCGGUGCAUCGGUAUCGCGCUGGCCGCCGCCAAAGCUAACCAGCCCGACAAGGCCCGCCGGUUCCUGGAGAAGGCGCAGCGCUUGUACCCCUCGCCGCGGGUCCGCGUUCUGCUUGAAUCACUCAACAAGAACGAGCAAUCAGCCAAUGGCCAGUCCCAAUCCAGGGAGUCCACAAACUCUCAGUUCAAGAAAAUGAGCAGAGACUUCCCAUCGGCCAAUGGAGAGGCUGGUGGGGAGGCCCCCAAGGGCUACACUCAGGACCAGGUGGAUGCAGUGAAGAGGGUAAAGCAGUGCAAAGAUUACUAUGAAAUUCUGGGAGUAAACAGAGAAGCUUCUGAUGAGGACCUGAAAAAGGCCUACCGGAAACUUGCACUGAAGUUUCACCCAGAUAAGAACCACGCACCGGGGGCUACAGAGGCAUUUAAAGCCAUUGGUAAUGCGUACGCGGUAUUGAGCAACCCAGAGAAGAGGAAGCAAUAUGACCAGUUUGGAGAUGAGAAACUCAACCCUGCUCGGCACGGACACAGUCACUCGGACUUCCACCGUGGGUUUGAGGCUGACAUCUCACCCGAGGACCUCUUCAACAUGUUUUUUGGUGGUGGUUUUCCUUCUAGUAACGUUCACGUAUACAGCAAUGGCAGGAUGCGAUAUACCUACCAUCAGAGGCAGGACAGACGAGAACAUCAGGGUGAUGGUGGCCUUGGGUUGUUUGUCCAGCUGAUGCCUAUCCUCAUCCUGAUCAUUGUGUCUGCUCUCAGCCAGAUGAUGGUCUCCAGCCCACCCUACAGUUUGAGCCAGAGGCCGUCUGUGGGUCACAUACACAGAAGAGUGACAGAGCACUUGAAAGUCAGCUACUACGUAUCUGAGAACUUUGCAGACGAAUACACAGGCACAAACCUGAAAAACAUUGAAAGGAGCGUGGAGGACGACUAUAUUGCAAACCUUCGAAAUAACUGCUGGAAAGAGAAGCAGCAGAAGGAAGGCUUGUUGUACCGGGCACGCUACUUCGGAGACUCGGAUCUGUACCGGCGAGCACAGAAGAUGGGCACCCCCAGCUGUAGCAGACUGUCAGAUGUUCAAGCCUCUCUGCACGGAUAGUCACCGCCUGCCCGCUCAGCAGAGGUCUAAAGAGCCGCUCUUAGGCAGAGGGCCCGCUGCGGACUGAAAUAGUGCAAUUGAACUCAUGAAAUGCCUGAAGACUUUUGGUGAAGUGCACUGAGCCGAGGUGACAGACUUGAUAUUUAAAAGAAUCAAACCUUAUCUUAAAAAUGGAAUUGGAGAAUUAGCAACGCACAACUGCCCUCUUUCUUCUCUCUGCCUGUCUCCGCUGUUCGACCUACGUCUCAGGCAGCGAUUAGGACAGGAAAUCAAGCUGCCCGUCUUCCUCCUUCCCUUCUGACACCGCUAGUGUGCGACAGUCUCCUUGCUCCUGGGCUCCCACAACCCCGAGAACAGACGCGUAGAGUGUAAAAUAACACAAACUAACUGCAGAAGCCGUGAAGCAGAAGGAGAUCCUUCGCAACUGCGCUGGUCACUGCCGACGGAGAGAGAAAUUGGACGAUUUGGUGAUAAAGAAAACUUUGAAAAAAAGAAAAUAUAAUCUAUUUAGAAUUAAUUUAUAGCUGUAUAUAUGUUGUACUUUUAAACUAUGCAGGGGUUGGAUGAUUAAAUUAUUUUGUUUUCUGCCCGGUUUGGUAAACAAGGAAGCGGGAAGUCUUUUCCCAGGGUGUCUCGCUCUGCAGUGCUUUCCUGCCUGACACACUAAAAGAAGAAUCACUUUGCUGUUACUGUAUUUUGCUUUCUGGAGGACAGCGGCGUUCUGCGGCUUGGGAUGUCGAUACCUGCCUUUCGGGUUUUAAUAAAAGAAAUUCCAAAUCUGUAGGGGGUAACAAAGAAAUCAGGGAAACUGUCCAGAUUUGUGGUGUGGUUUUGCAGCGUGGGCAGAAGCUGCAGCGGGUCAGCUGAGCCCCCGCAUCGCACUCAGUGAUGGGAAGGAUUGUCCUGGAUGGUUUUUGCUCAUCAGUCGUUGGGUUUAUUUGUGCACGUAACUUCUUUUUUUGCAGACUCUGCUUUAAUUUUGCCUCGUCAUCAGCGUGCGGCGUUCGUUCUGUAAAGAGGGCUUUCCACAAGCCGUCUCCCUUUGUUGGGUUUUUUUUUGUGUGUCCCCUACACUUGGGGUUCCUCACCCACCAGGACUCCCGUUUGCAACAUGGCUGUGGCCUUGACACCCUAACUCUAACGUUUCCUAGAGGACACCCAUAAAAUACUGCUAAUUCACAAGAAAUGGAGCUUUCUGUUGCUUCUGUUGAAAGAAGUUUUGCCGGGGGAGAUCACAGGGUGCGCCUGAGCUCUCCUCGGACCCCACCUGAGCUCUGCAGCGUCUCUCACUCGAUCACCGACAGGCAGGACUGGCGGGAGGGUGCUCGAGGUCAGGAGCCAUCUCUUCAAAGCAAAGCCGGCACGAGCGGAGCUCCCUUCCAUCGAAUAAACUGGAUUUUUUUUUUUUUUUUUUUUUUUUUUUUUUGGUACUUUGCAGUUCAUUUUUGUCUAAAGACAUUUCCAGUGAGAACAGUCCCCCAACACGCUCGGGGGAAUGAAUCAAAAGCACAGUGGCUUCCGGGUGAGGUGGCAGGGGCUGGAAGAGGCGAGAGGUAAGGUGGUUUUAUUUCUUUGUCAUUAGGAAUCCACAUGCUCUGUCUUCAGCUGUUUAUUUAUUUUGCAAAAUAUCAGCCCUCCCGUUAACUGCAAGCCUUACUAUCCCACAGCCACCAUGACUUGGACCUGAUUUUAAGGGGUUUUUUUCUUCUUUUUGUUUCUUUAAAUUCCUCCACCUUUGGAAGGAAUUGGGUGGAAGUACAGCAUUUGGAAAUAGCUCUUAGUAGCGGCACAGGCUAGCUGGCCUGAAGAGAUCAUGGGGAGGGGGUUAAACGAAAACCACGUACGCAGAAGGUGCUGAAUGUCUUGCACAACAGCAUUCCUUGCCCAGAGCCUGCCCGCCAAAACCUUUUGAUUAUUUUUCUUCCAAGUAGAUACCCAUGGAUAAUAACGAGCGAGAAGGCAUAGAUCCUAACGGAUGCUCACAGAGGCUGUAUCUCUCGAUUUAGAAUUAAUUAUACAAUUGUACAUCUAUAAAUAAAUGUUUAUAAUGUGAAA